rnacentral:rRNA from 11 species
CUAGCUGCGAGAAUUAAUGUGAAUUGCAGAACACAUUGAACAUCGACAUCUUGAACGCAUAUGGCGGCCUCGGGUCCAUCCCGAGGCCACGCCCGUCUGAGGGUCGGCU